GGAAGGGUGUCCGAGAGGUCUAAGGAGCACGCCUGGAGAGCGUGUAGGUGGGUGACCGCCUCGCGGGUUCGAAUCCCGCCCCUUCCGCCA
rnacentral:tRNA from 1 species